AAGUCGUAACAAGGUUUCCGUAGGUGAACCUGCGGAAGGAUCAUUGAUGAAUUCAAGGCGGUGUCGGAUUGUGCUGGCCCCUCGGGGCAUGUGCACGUCUCGCACCGUCUAUCACACACACACCCGUGCACACUUUGAGGGUAUGAGCUUGUCCGUAGGACUUGCCGGCGACAGUCGGCUCUUCCGUGGGGCAUGCGAGUCCUUCUAACUUUUCAUAUACACCUUGUACAUGUCUUGCAUGUCUUAUGAUUUAACCAAUACAACUUUCAACAACGGAUCUCUUGGCUCUC
rnacentral:misc_RNA from 1 species